AAGCAGCAUUUGACUACAAUAUAGGUGGUACGUGCCGUAUUGUUGUUCCCCUGCUCAAAACAAUGCUGUUUCUUAACUGUACCUGUCUUUUAUGUAGCAUUCUCAUACUU
rnacentral:snoRNA from 1 species